GUUGUGGUUAAAAAGCUCGUAGUUGAACCUUGGGCCUGGCUGGCCGGUCCGCCUCACCGCGUGUACUGGUCCGGCCGGGCCUUUCCCUCUGUGGAACCCCAUGCCCUUCACUGGGUGUGGCGGGGAAACAGGACUUUUACUGUGAAAAAAUUAGAGUGCUCCAGGCAGGCCUAUGCUCGAAUACAUUAGCAUGGAAUAAUAGAAUAGGACGUGUGGUUCUAUUUUGUUGGUUUCUAGGACCGCCGUAAUGAUUAAUAGGGACAGUCGGGGGCAUCAGUAUUCAAUUGUCAGAGGUGAAAUUCUUGGAUUUAUUGAAGACUAACUACUGCGAAAGCAUUUGCCAAGGAUGUUUUCAUUAAUCAGGAACGAAAGUUAGGGGAUCGAAGACGAUCAGAUACCGUCGUAGUCUUAACCAUAAACUAUGCCGACUAGGGAUCGGACGAUGUUAUUAUUUGACUCGUUCGGCACCUUACGAGAAAUCAAAGUGCUUGGGCUCCAGGGGGAGUAUGGUCGCAAGGCUGAAACUUAAAGAAAUUGACGGAAGGGCACCACCAGGGGUGGAGCCUGCGGCUUAAUUUGACUCAACACGGGGAAACUCACCAGGUCCAGACACAAUGAGGAUUGACAGAUUGAGAGCUCUUUCUUGAUUUUGUGGGGUGGGUGGUGCAUGGCCGUUCUUAGUUGGGUGGAGUGAUCUGUCUGCUUAAUUGCGAUAACGAACGAGACCUUAACCUGCUAAAUAGCCCGUAUUGCUUUGGCAGUACGCUGGCUUCUUAGAGGGACUAUCGGCUCAGCCGAUGGGAGUUUGAGCAAUACAGGUCUGUGAUGCCCUUAGAUGUCUGGGCGCACGCGCGCUACACUGAC
rnacentral:rRNA from 1 species